rnacentral:misc_RNA from 1 species
UGUUCGAGCGUCAUUAUAACCACUCAAGCCUCGGCUUGGUCUUGGGGUGCGAGGUUUCUCGGCCCUUAAAAUCAGUGGCGGUGCAUCUGGCUCUAAGCGUAGUAAUUUUUCUCGCUACAGGGUCCGGGUGGUUACUUGCCAAAACUCCCCCAUUUUUUAAGGUUGACCUCGGAUCAGGUAGGGAUACCCGCUGAACUUAA